rnacentral:rRNA from 1 species
UACGUAGGGGGCAAGCGUUGUCCGGAUUUAUUGGGCGUAAAGAGCGUGUAGGCGGCCAGACAGGUCAGCUGUGAAAACUCGAGGCUCAACCUCGAGACGUCGGUUGAAACCGUCUGGCUAGAGUCCGGAAGAGGAGAGUGGAAUUCCCGGUGUAGCGGUGAAAUGCGCAGAUAUCGGGAAGAACACCCGUGGCGAAGGCGGCUCUCUGGGACGGUACUGACGCUGAGACGCGAAAGCGUGGGGAGCGAACGAG